ensembl:lncRNA
GCAAGAGGGACCGUCAAAAGCCCAACACAAGCAACUUCUUGCUGCCAACGAAGCCCAAAAAAGCUAAGUUUUUUUUUACUAACACACUUAAGUUACGUUCAAAUUCAGCGAAAAUACAAAAAUAAAUGUCUGUCUUAAAGGUGGAAUUACAUUUCAAACCACAUAGGCAGUAGAUCAGCUUUUAUUUAAACUCGUUCUCAGUUAUGUGCCUGAUGGCGAAAAUAAUGCACAAGCCCGUUUAUCAAUCCGCGCUUUUGUCCGUUCUUCUGUUCUCGUGAAUUUGAUUGACGUCAUCUUUCAUGGCCCAAGUACUGUUCCAAUCCAAAGAAUGCAAGUUACCAAGAACGCCUAAAAUGCCGAGAAGGGUCCAACUGCAGCUUGCAGCAGUCGCUCACGCCAGGCCCCCUGCUCACGCCGCGCCCGCGCACGCCGCGCCCCCGCUGGCACGCAACUUCCGACUUUCAGACAUGUACGGUUUGUUUACAAGACGCAGAUGGACCAUAUUGCCAUAUUGAGUCAUGGCGGCAACAACUCCCGGGAAGCACCUGUGACUUAGCUCAUCACAUUGCUCUGGGCCAGUGGGCAACUAAAUUUGGCAAAGACAUUGAGGUGCAUCUCUCCAACCACGGUUUCCCUCAUCAAACUACUGUACAUUCUUGUGGCAUCUUAAUGUUGAUGUAUGCACUCAGCCUGAGCACAGAGGCUCCAUUUUGGUUCAUGGAGAGGGACAUGGCACGCAUCUGAAAAUGGUGGUGCAUUAGUCUAAUGGAACGGUUCCAGAUUGACGGGUGUCGCUACAUGGAGCAGGUUUUCUGAGUCCUACAGAAAAGAAUUCUACACCAUGUACACCGUGGACACCUGUCGUGAAUGUGGAAUGCUUUUCAAAAACUGCACACCUGUCUAGCCUGAAGGUUGUUGCCAGACAUCUGCUCAUCUGCACAAUCCUCUGGAUUGUCACCCUCUUCCUCAUGCUGAGGAUGGUCCUCCACAUCCAAGAUGUCGUCCAUAGAGAGACAAAGGUUGUGGAGAAUGCAGCAGGCAGCAACCACCUUGGGGCACAAACAGAGGACGCAUUACCAGAGCCCUCAGAAAGAUGGAUCUCCAACGGGUUUUCAGCAUGCCAAAUGUGCGCUCGAUUACUCACCUUGGUGUGGUGUACGUAGAACCGGGCCUCAUGGUGUAGAAACGUUAUACAGUUGCAUUAUUUGGUAGUGUUGUUAUUUACUGUGUUAUUUAAGUCCACUACCAAGAUCAUCAUGUAUAAGUCUAAGUCUUUGAUCAGUGUUGAAAACAAAGGGUACUUGGUAGUGAUCUCAGACAUUUGGAGCCCACUGUGUGUUUGUGUGUUUUGGCAACCUUGGAUUUAGGUCCAGUAAAUAUCCCAAGCAGCUACAGGCUGUUGAAACGUGGUGAUAACAGCCACGGGAUGCUGCAGGCAUGGAUAUUCACCAUCUUCUGAAAAUAAUUCUGUUUGAUUUUGUUCAAUAAAGUGUUUUAGACCAUUA